CUACUCCUACGGGAGGCAGCAGUAGGGAAUAUUGCGCAAUGGGGGACAGCCUGACGCAGCAACGCCGCGUGAGUGAGGAAGGUUUUCGGAUUGUAAAACUCUUUUAUCAGGGAACGAUGUCUUAGUGGUUAAUACCCAUUAGGAGUGAUGGUACCUGAGGAAUAAGCACCGGCUAACUUCGUGCCAGCAGCCGCGGUAAUAC
rnacentral:rRNA from 1 species